rnacentral:rRNA from 1 species
CCUACGGGCGGCUGCAGUGGGGAAUAUUGGACAAUGGGGGCAACCCUGAUCCAGCCAUGCCGCGUGUGUGAAGAAGGCCCUCGGGUUGUAAAGCACUUUCAGUGAGGAAGAACGCCUGGUGGUUAAUACCCAUCAGGAAAGACAUCACUCACAGAAGAAGCACCGGCUAACUCCGUGCCAGCAGCCGCGGUAAUACGGAGGGUGCGAGCGUUAAUCGGAAUUACUGGGCGUAAAGCGCGCGUAGGUGGCUUGAUAAGCCGGUUGUGAAAGCCCCGGGCUCAACCUGGGAACGGCAUCCGGAACUGUCAAGCUAGAGUGCAGGAGAGGAAGGUAGAAUUCCCGGUGUAGCGGUGAAAUGCGUAGAGAUCGGGAGGAAUACCAGUGGCGAAGGCGGCCUUCUGGACUGACACUGACACUGAGGUGCGAAAGCGUGGGUAGCAAACAGGAUUAGAACCCUGGUAGUC